rnacentral:rRNA from 1 species
GAUCCUGGCUCAGAUUGAACGCUGGCGGCAGGCCUAACACAUGCAAGUCGAGCGGAUGAAGAGAGCUUGCUCUCUGAUUCAGCGGCGGACGGGUGAGUAACGCCUAGGAAUCUGCCUGAUAGUGGGGGACAACGUUUCGAAAGGAACGCUAAUACCGCAUACGUCCUACGGGAGAAAGCAGGGGACCUUCGGGCCUUGCGCUAUCAGAUGAGCCUAGGUCGGAUUAGCUAGUUGGUGG